GGGCGGCUGGCCGGGCGCCCGCGCGGCGCCGCGCUCUGGCUGCGGCGCGCGGGGGCGGUCCUGCUCUGGGGGGUGGUGCAGGGCGCCUUCCUCGCCCC
rnacentral:tRNA from 1 species